GGCCCUGUAGCUCAGUCGGUAGAGCAGCGGACUCAUAAUCCGUGGCGCCCAGGUUCGAGUCCUGGCAGGGCCA
rnacentral:tRNA from 1 species